rnacentral:rRNA from 1 species
UGCAAAGGCCAUAUCUUGAGAACACCCAAUCUCGUCUGAUCUCAGAAGCUAAGCAAGGUUGGGCCUGGUUAGUACUUGGAUGGGAGAACGCUUGGUAGAACAGGCGCUGCAG